UUGUAGAUGUUAAAAGCAAGAGACAUGGGAGAUCAUCAUUCCCUUGAGAUUUUAUAACUCAAACCAACUUUGGAGUUGUCUGAUUUGGAGAGUCAUUAUUCUUGGUCUGCGCUCUUAGAGGCCACUGAUGAAGAGCAGGCGGUGACUGGGAUGAAUGCUGGUCAGAGAGGAGAAUCUUCUUUCCCCUAAACUGAUGCAGCGGUGGUUUUAAAGGAGGACGCUGCCCUGGAUGAUGUAGAAGAUGUCAGAUGCUGUGCUGAUGGGGUUUCUUCAUGAUUACAUCAGUUAUGCUAUAAGAGAUCAUGAAAAUUGACCGUGAUGCAUGAUCUGUAUUCAUGGACAAUGAAACAAACUGUAAGUGUAUAAUUUGUUAAAAAAAAAAAAGUUAAAUGCUUUUUCUGUGUUGUUUAGUAGAAAAGUUUACACUCUGUCAUUCAUACACCUGCUCACAUUCUUUCACACACACACACACACACACACACACACACACACACACACACACACACACACACACACAUGCGUCUGUUAAAGGUUAUAAUAUCAAAGUUAAUGUGAUUUAUUUGUGUACUGUCAUGCCAGAACAGUUGGAAAAAAAACUAACUAAUUGUAAAUUUAUUGUAUGUGUUUUCGUAUAUUUUUAUACAAUAUAUACAAUUGAACAAAGUCCAAUUUGAUCUUAAGUUAUAUUCAUCAAAUGUUCAAUGCUUUUAUGAACUCUGUAGCUGUUAAUGCCAUCCUUUUCUGCAUUUCUUCUAACAUGUUACUUUUUGACUUUU